UCGAGUGGCGAACGGGUGAGUAACGCGUGAGGAACCUGCCUCAAAGAGGGGGACAACAGUUGGAAACGACUGCUAAUACCGCAUAAGCCCACAGCUCGGCAUCGAGCAGAGGGAAAAGGAGCAAUCCGCUUUGAGAUGGCCUCGCGUCCGAUUAGCUAGUUGGUGAGGUAACGGCCCACCAAGGCGACGAUCGGUAGCCGGACUGAGAGGUUGAACGGCCACAUUGGGACUGAGACACGGCCCAGACUCCUACGGGAGGCAGCAGUGGGGAAUAUUGCACAAUGGGGGAAACCCUGAUGCAGCGACGCCGCGUGGAGGAA
rnacentral:rRNA from 1 species